ACAAAACCGAUGGUGUUUCACUUACUUUUCAUUACUAUACAACUGCCUUUUGUUAUUUUUACAGAACUCCCAAGGAGAAGAGAAAGUAGAUUUGGAAAACCAUGAGGAACUCAGUUAUCUGAUGACAUGUAUAUCUUAAAUUAUGCAUGAGGCUAAAGAGUAUGGAACAGUAUCAGAAAUCACAGAGAGGUCAACGUAUGGAGAAACAGAAGUGUGGUCCAGGAAAUCAUAGAUUAUUAAAUAAUAAAAGCAAGCAACAUGUUUUGAGUUUCUACAUGGCAGCAAAUGAUGAUUGUCUGAGAAAAAGUUUAUGAAACCCUGAAGCAAGUGACAAGAAUUGCAAAGGCCUGGAUACAGAACUCAGCAGUUUUAAGAAUAAGUUUGGGGUGAGUCACAACAAAUAAAACAAGUUUCUUAAAAUACCA
rnacentral:lncRNA from 1 species